CAUAUAGUUAAGGAGCAGCAUGUAUUUAUUUUUAAGAGUUUCUGAUUAUAAGUAGUUUUCAGUUUUUCCUAACUAAAGUGUAAGUUUCUCUUAAUACAUGCGAAGGAGAGAUUCAAGCUCUCAGUAGUGUUGAGGGGAGGCUUGCUGUGAACAAUUUGGGUUCCUAAAGAAAGAUGUCUGUGAAUAAUGUGCAACUAAGAGAGUUGGCCCAGGUGAGAGAUUCCAUGACACUGAAAGCACAGCGAUGAUCACACAGCCAUGUCGCAGCAGUACGUGCCAGAGCCUGAGGCUGUCAGGACACAGCUUGGAGACGCAUGGGAUGCCAAGCAGAGGAAACUGACGCACAGCCGGCUGAAGAACUGCCCUGUCCUAAACUCAUCUGAAGGAAAGGAAACUGAAGAAGAAAAUCUGACUUGUGGAGCUGUUCAGCACAGAAUAUUCUUGCAGAGAUCAACAAACUGAAGAAAUUCAGUGCCUAAGAAACCAAGGGAUUGGAACUUUGUUAAAGAUCUCAAGAAAAAGAUUUGCACAUAUAUUAACAGAAUGCAGACAUCCUUGUUCUUGGCCUUAAACUUUUAAUGGCAAUUAUCCUUCCAUGCAUAAGAAAGGUUGGAUGACUCCUUCAUUUUCAGAGGAAGUAGCAAAAUAAGAAAUUUUCCAGGUGAUUAUUUCACUGUACCCUAUUCGCAAAAUGAAUGCAAGAUAAUUUGUGAAGUCUGCAACCUUAGAUAGUGAUCUAAGUUCAGUUCCUGGUAUGUUUGUUCUCAGCACAGAUGCUGAAAACGGAACUGAUUAAAAACAACACAAAACCCAACCACCAAACCCCCAAUGCCCCCAGUGAAUGCUGUAAAACAGAUUUAUUUGCUUUUAUCUCCUAGCAGUAAGCCUAAUGAUCAAGUUUGAUUGAAAGGUAGACAUACAGUUUUAAAACUAUGAUAUACAUGGAAGUACACAGGUAACAAAUAGUAAUUAAAACCCCCAACUAUUAAAGACCUCAUUAGAUGCCCAAAACCAAGAAACUCACGAUCACUAACAAAAACAUCAGAAAAUUCUGCUGUUUGUGGAGACAGUAUCAUCACCUGUAAGUUUUCCAGCACUUAAAUGACCAUUGGUCUCUUGUUUAAUGAGCAUUUCUGGACACAUCCUUGCAUCUACACCUUUCAACUUUUUUUUGAUAUUUGAUAUAUUUGAUACUACAUGUGCAAUCAGUAUGUAGGACUACACUCUUAACACGGCUAUUAGUUGCAAUAACUAAUGGGAACUCUUUUCAGCUGCACCCACAAGUCAGGUAAGUGUCUAACUGCUUGCAAAUCUGCCCUGAAUUGACAAGAAUAGGUUGGCAACUGACAAAAACCAAGUUCUAGUAUAAACCAGAACAUAUGAUGAUUAUGGUUUAUCUUGUGAAAUCGGACCUCUGAGAUGCACUUCUGUUCUAUUGUUACACAAAUAAACUCUGAUGGAAAGCACUUCCACAAGCGUUAGUUUUCACGACAAAUAAUGUCUCUGUGUGUGUGUUCAUAUACAUGCACUCACCUCUGUUAAUUAGGUAUCUGUUCCUUGUCUGUUGGGUUCCUAGUUGGAGACUAAAAAGAAACAGAUGCAAUUAAUGAAAGUAAUGUAUAUCAAUGAUAAAUUAGGCCAGUGCAGAAUGUCUUUGAAAGUUGAAUAAUUCACAAAAUACACGCCUAGGAUGAAUCACUUUUUAUGUGUUUUACUUCAAAUGUGAUACAACACAUGUCCUUGGGAGUAGGGGACCAAGAGACAUCCACAAAAAUAGGCACCUCUUGUGUGGGAGAAUGCCAUGAGGUGGAUUUUGUACAGAUCUUACUUCUAACAGCAUGGCUGGUCUGUGUUGGUAGCAAUUAGGAGAGGCUGAGGGGUACAUGGAUAUUCAGUUGCCUUGGUGAACUCCUCAGUCAACAGUUUGACUGUGGCCUUGCCUCAUGAAGACUGGAUUUGGUGACAAAUGGGCAGGAAACUGAUUUUUGU
rnacentral:lncRNA from 1 species